rnacentral:lncRNA from 1 species
CCAGAUUCCUCAGAGAGUAACUUAAACGCAAGAAGGUGGGGAACCAGGCAUAAUCUGGUGUUUUGAGACGUGUCUUCUUUGUAUGACUUUUGUCCUCCUGGCAACUAAUUGGAAGGAAAAGGGAAGGGAAACUGAGGGAAGAGAUGGCACCGCCUCCCCGUCUCCACCCUGCCUGGCAGCCCCUGCAUCCUGUGCGGCCCCUGGAGAAGCCCUCCCCAGAGUCUCAUCCCUUCCCCGUGUCUUCGGCCCAUUUUAACAUCAGAUGGUGAACGGCACAGAACUGAAGAAGCGGCAGCCCUCUCACAGUCUCUCAGACGUUUUAGGAGCCGUCUGCCCCAGAGGUGGGCUCUGGAUGCAAAGGACCCGGUGAGAGACACUCCCUCCC